rnacentral:rRNA from 1 species
GACGAACGCUGGCGGCGUGCUUAACACAUGCAAGUCGUACGGUAAGGCCCUUUCGGGGGUACACGAGUGGCGAACGGGUGAGUAACACGUGAGUAACCUGCCCACAACUUUGGGAUAACGCUAGGAAACUGGUGCUAAUACUGGAUAUGUGCUCCUGCUGCAUGGUGGGGGUUGGAAAGCUCCGGCGGUUGUGGAUGGACUCGCGGCCUAUCAGCUUGUUGGUGGGGUAGUGGCCUACCAAGGCGGCGACGGGUAGCCGGCCUGAGAGGGUGACCGGCCACAUUGGGACUGAGAUACGGCCCAGACUCCUACGGGAGGCAGCAGUGGGGAAUAUUGCACAAUGGGCGCAAGCCUGAUGCAGCAACGCCGCGUGCGGGAUGACGGCCUUCGGGUUGUAAACCGCUUUCAGCAGGGACGAAGCUUUUUGUGACGGUACCUGCAGAAGAAGCACCAGCUAACUACGUG